CUUUUGAGCCAGGAUGAGCCAGGAGAAGGAAUUUCACAAGGUAAUGGCUUCAGUUAAAGCAGAAACCGGCCAUUUUCACUUCUUUUGUGAUUCUUCACUUGCUUCGGGCCAUCUCGACAUAUACAUGCAGGUCACAGGGGAUAUGAUAGCUUAGCUUGGGCUCAGAGGCCUGACACUGUUGAUAGUUUAUUUUGCUCUGCAGACGUUCUUUAACUUCAUUAGGCAAUACUUGUCAAUUUUUGUUUUUGCUGCAAUUGCUUUUGGCUACUAAGCCAAAAAUUAUUUGCCAAGGCUGAUAUCGGGAGGGUAUGUCCUAGGUUUCCUUAUAGGACAUUUACAGUUCGAAGUCUUACAUUUACAUCUUUAAUCCAUCAUCAGUUAAUUUUUGUAUAUGGUGAAAUGUAAGGGUCCAGUUUUAUUCUUCUACAUAUGACUAGCCAAUUAUCCCAGCAUGAUUUACUAAAUGGGGAGUCCUUUCCUCAUUGCUUUUGUUGGCCUUGUCGAAGAUCAGAGGAUUAUGGAGUCUUGCUCUGUCGCCCAGCCAGGCUGAAGUGCAGUGGUGCAAUCUUGGCUCACUUCAAACUCCGCCUCCCAGGUUCAAGUGAUUCUCCUGCCUCAGUCUCCUGAGUGGCUGGGACCACAGGUGCACACCACCACGCCCGGCUAAUUUUUUUGUGUUUUUAGUAGAGACAGGGUUUCAUGGUGUUAGCCAGUAUGGUCUCGAGCUCUUGACCUCAUGAUUCGUCUGCCUUGGCCUCCCAAAGUGCUGGGAUUACAGGCAUGAGCCACCAUGUCUGGCCAAACAUUUCAAUACAUUUGGACCUUUUGAGAUUACUGUUGUUCCAAACUCUCACCAAAAGGCUCAAAGAGGGAGGCCUAAAACAAAUGGAUAGUAUGGAAUGCAUUUGAACAGGCAUAUUCCUACAGGGCAUCGCCAACAUGGGAAAUAAGUAGUAAUAUGUCUUGAAAUCUUACUGAGAAAUUUGACUAUUUUGUGAACAUGGUCCUAUAUACACCACUUAGUUUUGGUGAUGUGAUGGGAAUUUAGUGAAACCUUCGUAUGGGUUAUUUUGUAUGAACUGGCCAUGAAGGUGGCUCUUUUCUUACAUUUUAACAUGGAAGAGAGAAGAAGCAUAUGGCAGCCCAGAAAUGCUGGACAUCAGGGACUUUUUGCUUCUGUGAAUACUGUGAGUGUAUCUGGAAUAAAUUACAGUGACUCUAAUAAAAUGAAAUGUUGAAUCACUU
rnacentral:lncRNA from 1 species